rnacentral:rRNA from 1 species
UACGGAGGGGACUAGCGUUGUUCGGAAUUACUGGGCGUAAAGCGCACGUAGGCGGACUUUCAAGUCAGGGGUGAAAUCCCGGGGCUCAACCUCGGAAUUGCCUUUGAUACUGUAGGUCUCGAGUCCGGAAGAGGUGGGUGGAAUUCCUAGUGUAGAGGUGAAAUUCGUAGAUAUUAGGAAGAACACCGGUGGCGAAGGCGGCCCACUGGAUCGGUACUGACGCUGAGGUGCGAAAGCGUGGGGAGCAACAGG